rnacentral:misc_RNA from 1 species
GAUGAAGAACGCAGCGAAAUGCGAUAAGUAAUGUGAAUUGCAGAAUUCAGUGAAUCAUCGAAUCUUUGAACGCACAUUGCGCCCCCUGGUAUUCCGGGGGGCAUGCCUGUCCGAGCGUCAUUACAACCCUCAAGCUCAGCUUGGUAUUGGGCCCCGCCGACCCGGCGGGCCCUAAAGUCAGUGGCGGUGCCGUCCGGCUCCGAGCGUAGUAAUUCUUCUCGCUCUGGAGGUCCGGUCGUGUGCUCGCCAGCAACCCCCAAUUUUUUUCAGGUUGACCUCGGAUCAGGUAGGGAUACCCGCUGAACUUAAGCAUAUCAAUAAGGGAGGA